AUUGAACGCUGGCGGCAUGCCUUACACAUGCAAGUCGAACGGCAGCACGGGGCAACCUGGUGGCGAGUGGCGAACGGGUGAGUAACGCAUCGGAACGUACCUUUCAGUGGGGGAUAACGUAGCGACAGUUACGCUAAUACCGCAUAUUCUGUGAGCAGGAAAGCAGGGGAUCGCAAGACCUUGCGCUGAUUGAGCGGCCGAUGUCAGAUUAGCUAGUUGGUGAGGUAAAGGCUCACCAAGGCGACGAUCUGUAGCGGGUCUGAGAGGAUGAUCCGCCACACUGGAACUGAGACACGGUCCAGACUCCUACGGGAGGCAGCAGUGGGGAAUUUUGGACAAUGGGGGCAACCCUGAUCCAGCCAUGCCGCGUGAGUGAAGAAGGCCUUCGGGUUGUAAAGCUCUUUCGGCCGGGAAGAAAUCGCACGGGCUAAUACCCUGUGUGGAUGACGGUACCGGAAUAAGAAGCACCGGCUAACUACGUGCCAGCCGCCGCGGUAACAC
rnacentral:rRNA from 1 species